rnacentral:rRNA from 1 species
UACGAAGGGGGCUAGCGUUGCUCGGAAUGACUGGGCGUAAAGGGCGCGUAGGCGGAUGGCACAGUCAGAUGUGAAAUUCCCGGGCUUAACCUGGGGGCUGCAUUUGAUACGUGUUGUCUUGAGUUCGGAAGAGGGUCGUGGAAUUCCCAGUGUAGAGGUGAAAUUCGUAGAUAUCGGGAGGAACACCGACGGCGAAGGCAGCGCCCUGGACGACACCUGACGCUCAGGCACGAAAGCUGGGGGAGCAAACAGG